CUGUGGGCUCCCCAUUCGA
rnacentral:snRNA from 1 species